UUUUUUUGAAUAUUUUUAUUGGAAUAUUUUUAAGUUUUAUAUUUAAUAAAUAUUUCACAUUUUAUUUGUUAGAAGAAUAAUAUUUUGGAAUCAUUUCUUAUUAGAAAGCCUCUAGUCCAAGCUUUCUAACACACCUGAUAAAGAACAGAAAUGGUAUCAGAAAAAUCCAGUGGCAGAGGUCUCGCUUGAAAGGACCUGAGAAGACAUGGUCCCGAUGGCCUGAGGCCCCUUCAGUAUAGCAGCACUGACUACAUCAGUCUCAUGCCUCAGAGUGGCUCUGAAGAGGCUCCCUUGUGGCAUCUAGGGACCUCAGCUCCUUGUCACACUCCUCACUUCUGCAGGGACCUGCUUAAACCUGCCUCCAGUCAAUGCCACAGCCGGCAAAACCCAGGCCCUUUCAAACAUCCCCCAGAAAGAAAAAGCGAGCAUGAGGCACAGCCCCCCACCCCCACAAACAGACCUUUUGGAAAUUCGCCUGCAGCAGCCAUCCCUCACAGAGUUUUUAUCAGGGAGCUCCCACUCCACUUCAAAACCACCGCAGCAAGUGCCCUGCCCUCAUUAGCUGCACUUUCAGCCUGCCACCAAGAUCCUUUUUCAGGAAUCAGCAGGCAAUUGUCCCUAUGGAGACUGCCCAGCACUAUGGUGUGCUUGCUACGAACUGAAACCUUCCACUAGACCAGGUUGCUCCCAGCCCCAUCCAACCUGGCCUUGAACACUUCCAGCGAUGUCGCAUGCUCUUGCCAGUGCUACCGCUGGCAACUCUCACCAAAACACAGAGAGCCAGGUCCUGAGCCCUGGGCAGCCACCCCCUUUCUACCAAGGGCAGCCACCUCACACAAUUCCCCUCAGCUGAAGUGCUUGUGUUCACCUCAAAACUGGCUUUUCGCCCAAACUGCACCCAUUGUUUCUGAAUCUCAUGGCCCUGACCCUAGCACUGGUUUUCUACAAUCCCACACUGAACACACAUGUGGUCACAUUCCAACCUCUGUCUGUGCCGAGGUUAUCAUUGGCCUUGAGCAGCAGCAGCCAAGUAGGAGAGUCUAUGCUGGCUAACCCUUAUGCACGUGUGUUUAUAGAUCAUGAUGCUGUAUUAACUCCCAGCAUUCCAGUUCUUCAAAUACGAUACAGGCUCUUCUCUACACCAAUGCUGCCCGAUAGCUUUUCUUCCAUUAACAAGUUUGGUUAACAGACUUGCGUUUUUCACAUCAUUUAUAACAUUAAUAAGAUCAGCCCCAACAGCUACUUUAAAAUGAGUGCUUAUUCCAAAAAAAGCAAGCCAAGACAGAGCAGAUUCAGCUGUAUAGCUUACACUCUGCCUUCUAUCUCUGCCUACACACAAUGCUACAUGUAGGAUCACUGCUAACGAGCCCCACCUUACUCUUUUAGCUCUGUUGAGGAUCAUGUGAGGCCACUGUAGCAUUAAUCAGACAGAACUCAACCACACGCAUGGCCACUCAUACAGCAGACUGACAAUGCUUUCAAACGUAACUAUCUGUUUUCAGGUAAGUAAUGCCCUUGCUACCAUAAUUCUCUGCCCAGAUCAGGAGAGGAGACUGUUCUGAGCGCUCUGAAAAGCUUGUAAUUCAGUCCUCUGUCUCUAGCACUGCAUGAUGCCAGUCCUGUGGCAGAUGGAUGAUGUUGCGUGCAUUUGCUAAUGCAAGAUGACUUAAUAAAUGAAGUUGUUAUGGCACUUGUCCUUCAUGACCUAGAAAUGAUUUCACAAUGCAUGUUCUGGAACUAGGUCCUUAUGUGCCAAAGACAGUAUCUCACAGAGUCUCCAUUAGCAUCCUUUCUGCAUCACUUUUUCCAACGGGAGAUGCUGCUGGCAUACCACAUGCAUGACAGGACAACUAACAAGCCCAGUCCACAAGGGACAGGCUUCCACAUGUCUCGUGUUGGCAUCUAGUACCUAAGUGAAAUGAGAAACUGUCCCAACUGCAGCUUGCGUGUCAAGUCAGAACAGCUGAAAUGAGAUACAGAGGAACUAAAGCAAAGUGUUAAACUUUAAAUGUAGUACCACUAAGUUCUGCUUCAAUCAUAAAUACCCCCAAUUUAUCUUUUUCACACACAUUUUGCAGAGAAGGAAGUGAAAAUUCUUCUAACCCUUAACAUAAGCUACGCACAUUUUCUGAAGGCUUUUUUGGUCUUUUUUUCUCUUGCUAUUAGACUGCAGCUUUUUUCUGUGUAUCUGUACUUUGCUAGAUAGCAUCAAGUAUUUUUUCUAGAACAGUGUGUCCACAGUUAAGUUUGACACACUUAAGUUUGAGAAUGGCACAGCCAGCUGCAGUAGAAUUAUAGUUUUAUAGAGAUAUUUGUUGGGAAUUGCAUACCCAAAAUUAUGCUCAACAGCUUCUUAAAUAAGCCCCUGAACUUUCCUGAGCAACUAAGAACAGUGAAGGGAGAAAAAAAAAAAAAUCUGAUGCAAUGGUGAACUGCAGUAAUCUACACAAGAAUGCAGUACUGAAAACCAAUCACAAGGGUGUUUUGGGUUUUGUCCCCUUCCAGAACAUCAGUUCACCAAAGAAUAUUAACAUAAAUCCCACCACAUAAAUGUAUACAGAAGAAACAUUACCAAAUUACACUACAGUAAUAAUCCUUCCUACUAUAUAUUCAAAUAAUAAAUUAUCACACUAUUUCAGAAGCACAAUUUUUCUGCUCAAAAAAUCAAGACACCACAACAACUAUUUCUCAAAUGCAAAGAGACUUCUCCAGACCAACAGAUUUCAGAAGGAGAAUACAUACAGCUAUUUUUAAUGAUUCUCAUAAGGAACACGUACUUGCUACAAUCAUCCUGCAAACCAACCAGUAUCCCCAACUGGACUUUGUUCACAGUGGACCAGAGCUUCACUCAUGCGCUUUAAGGACCUGCAUUCAGAAAGUCUGCUGCAGAGGGCAGCUCCUUUGGAAGACUUGUUUCCCCCAACAGUAUAUUCCAGCCACGUCAGGCUCUGCCCUUAGAAAAGUGACAGACAGAGAGGCAUUUACCACACUGCUCACACGUAGCCCUAGGCAGGGGCAGCAGCAUCUUCCCAGACUAACACUUCCUAACCAAGUGACUUCACACAUGAGAAGCCUACUGCAAAAGCCCAAUGCAGUUAAAGACACUGAUGUAAUUUUUCUGUUUUCAGGCAACUUGGCUUUCCUGAAAACCAUGACCAUACUACGCCUCAGUCAUUAUCCCAUGUCAAAAUUCAUCUGGUUGUUUAUUUCUACAGUCCUUACUUAGUAAGAGCAGAAGCAUUUAGUGACAGCAAAUUAGUACCAAGAUAUAAGAACAUCAGUCUCUAGGAAAACAGGUAACUGUCAGUUGAGAUAAUAAAAGAUAUUAAUAUAAUGCACUAAGGUCUACCUAAAGCAUCUGGAUCAAUGUUUUAAGGUCAGACUUACCUUUUGUGUCUUUUAACAGCUAUUUUGCACCAAAAAGAAACUUUCACAUCAAGUUCCCUGAAUAUAUUAAAGCAGAGGGAGGGGAGCAGUGGGAUAGGUAAUCAUUUGCACACACAUCUAAGAGAAAGUUAGAAAGCUGGUUUAUUCGAAACUGUGAAAUCAAAGUCCAAUAAAGAAAAUGCUUAACAUCACCACUGGACGCUAUGCAGGAAAACUCUGGUAAGACUGGACUGUUCCCUUGGAGCUCCCAGCAUGGCUGAGUCCUGAAAUGACUUCUCAGCUCCCUACUCCAAGCCACACUGUUAUCUCAAGAACAAUCUUUAACCAUUCACGGCAAGCCUUCCCCACAUGCACACUGCCAAAUUCCUCCCUGCUGGAGUUUUACUGAUACCAGCAUAAACCACCACAAACAUGCCAGGGCUCACAGUACUGAGGUUUUAAGAGUGAAACGGAGUGCCUAGAUUUCAGAACUUCUAUAGAGCAUCCAUCCUCUUUCCUCACUCAGAGCCCUUCAAACUGAUUCAUGAACUGUUCUAUACCCAAAUAUCGUAUUUUUAUUUUUAAUGAGCUAUUCUUAAGCUAGGACACCACAUUGGUUCUUAUUCACCAUCACUCUUUGUGGUGAGACGUGCAGACAUUGCCAGAAAUGGUGUUUAUGUUUGCUCAGCACUGCUAUUAAAUAACUAGGUUUUUCCAAAUAGCAGAUUCUUUUAGUUUAAGUAACCAUACUUUGCAUAUACAUCAAAACUCUCUGAAGUGAUCAAUAUGAAAAUAUCGAGAUUGUAUCCAAAAUAUAAUUUCAAACAGCUUAUAGAACCUCAGGUGGGCAGCCACCAAAUUCUGCUAAAAAUGCCAUGCCCUUUUAGAAACUGCACAAAAAA
ensembl:lncRNA